CCUACGGGUGGCAGCAGUGAGGAAUAUUGGUCAAUGGACGCGAGCCUGAACCAGCCAAGUAGCGUGAAGGAUGACUGCCCUAUGGGUUGUAAACUUCUUUUAUAUGGGAAUAAAAUGUUCUACGUGUGCUACUUUGUAUGUACCUUAUGAAUAAUGAUCGGCUAACUCCGUGCCAGCAGCCGCGGUAAUACGGAGGAUCCGAGCGUUAUCCGGAUUUAUUGGGUUUAAAGGGAGCGUAGGAGGGUUGUUAAGUCAGUUGUGAAAGUUUGCGGCUCAACCGUAAAAUUGCAGUUGAAACUGGCAGUCUUGAGUACAGUAGAGGUAGGCGGAAUGCGUGGUGUAGCGGUGAAAUGCUUAGAUAUCACGAAGAACUCCGAUUGCGAAGGCAGCUCACUGGACUGCAACUGACGCUGAGGCUCGAAAGUGUGGGUAUCAAACAGGAUUAGAUACCCUGGUAGUC
rnacentral:rRNA from 1 species